UAUAUACUCCCUCCGUUCCGAAUUAGUUGUCUUAGAUUUGUCUAGAUACAAUCUAGACACGUUUUACUGUUAGGUACAUCCGUAUCUAGACAAAUCUACGACAACUAAUUUAGGACGGAGGUAAUACUAU
rnacentral:pre_miRNA from 1 species